rnacentral:rRNA from 1 species
UACGUAGGGAGCAAGCGUUGUCCGGAAUCAUUGGGCGUAAAGCGCGCGUAGGUGGCCUCAUAAGUCCGCUGUGAAAGUCAAAGGCUCAACCUUUGAAAGCCGGUGGAUACUGUGGGGCUAGAGUACGGAAGAGGCGAGUGGAAUUCCUGGUGUAGCGGUGGAAUGCGCAGAUAUCAGGAGGAACACCAAUAGCGAAGGCAGCGCGCUGGGACGUUACUGACACUGAGGCGCGAAAGCGUGGGGAGCGAACAGG